GAUGAAGAACGUAGCGAAAUGCGAUAAGUAAUGUGAAUUGCAGAAUUCAGUGAAUCAUCCAAUCUUUGAACGCACCUUGCGCCCUUUGGCCAUUCCGAAGGGCAUGCCUGUUUGAGUAUCAUGAACACCUCAACUCUCAUGGCUCGCCAUGAUGAGCUUGGACUUUGGGGGUCUUGCUGGCCUGUGGUCGGCUCCUCUCAAAUGGAUCAGCUUGCCAGUGUUUGGUGGCAUCACAGGUGUGAUAACUAUCUGCGCUUGUGGUUUUCCAUCAGAUAACCUUCAGUGAUGGAGGUUCGCUGGAGCUCAUAAACGUCUCCCCUAAGCGGGGACAGCCCUUUGAAUGUUUGAUCUCAAAUCAGGUAGGACUACCCGCUGAACUUAAGCAUAUCAAUAAGCGGAGGA
rnacentral:misc_RNA from 1 species